UUUUCUGUACUAUACUCUAUCUCUCUCUCUCUCUCUCUCUCUCCAAAUUAACCAUCUUCUCUCUAUCUCUAAAAUUCUGUCUCUCGCGAUCCUCCAUAGCCAGAGCUCUAUCCAAAGGCAAGAGCCCCAAAGCCUUCGCCAGCAUCGGUGGCAACAAAACUCAGCGGCACCACCACAAAUAGUGGUUGCUGCCCUCUCCUUCUCUCUCAUCUCUUUUAUUUUAUUUCCGAUUCCAUGUGGGUUUGGGGAUUGAGGUUUCUUACACCAAAAAACUCCAUAAACAAACCUCCAAACUGAUGAUUGCUCUUCAUUCAAUGAAGAUUGAUGAAAAUUAAAAUUUAAUAUUGAUUCUCAAAGUCUCAUUCACGUUGUUUCUAGCAAUCAAUAAGUAUACAUACGUUUUUUUGAGUCACAAACAUACAUCUAAAUAUUUAGAACUUUAUAUAUUUACUUAUUGAAUUCCCGUGUAUUGCACAGUUUUAGUUAUCAUUGCGAUUCAAAGAAUCAUCGCGAUUCUAUUUUCCUUUUUCAUUUGCUCGCAGGUUCAUAAAGCAUUCGCUUCUCUUUCAUCGAUUCUCUCACAUACGUACGGUCACCCAUUGCCGUGUUGAAUGAGAAAUCACAGAAAACUGUUCCAGCGCUCUGUUCGAUUUUGACUUGCUUUCCUGCCUUCUUACAAGUUGUUUGGUAUCUCUCUCUCUCUCUCGCUCUCAUUAUACAUGCAUCCAUUAUAUAUUUAUUUUUCCAAGUGUAUAUUGAACCACGUGGUAUAUUUCAAUUUAAUAUUAUUAUAAUGAACCGUAAAAGUAAUAGCUUUUCUGUUGUAAUUUUUACUCUUUUUUUUUGUACACUUUUCAUGUUCUUUAUUUGUUCAAUGUUCAUGCAUGAGCUAAUCUGAAAAAGGUUCACUUCAGAUUGUUGUUUCAUCGAUUUAAAAAUUCUAAGGAAAUUUUUCCCAAUAGUAUUUGAGUGGGGUUUGUUUUGUAUUUUGCUUUUUCGUUUUUCAUGUUCUCUUAGUGGAGGACACAUCUUUUAGUUAUAUGAUUGGAUUGCCAUUAAAAAUGAGUUUGCUGCUGAAGAUUCUGCUUGUUGUUCGAACUAUCAAUUAAUUUUUCUGGGUCAUAGAGUUUAAUAAUUUCAAUAAAGCUAAAGUCACAAAAAUUUCAUAACAACACCCAAUUUUACCUACCACCUUAGUUACACAUGGGUCAUUUUAAAAAAGAUUGUAGAUUUGUGAUAGGUCCAAGUGUGAGUUGGUAGACAAAUUGCUUUUUGUGAAAUUGUUAAGAAUUUUUGUUGUGACACUAGUUUUGUUGUAAACCAUUGGCAUUAACCCAACCGGCCAGCUCACAUGUAAAACUCAGCCGUCCAGCCCACAUGUAAACACCAAAAAAAGAAAAAAAAGAAGAAGGGUAAGUUCAAAAAAUGUAAACCCAGCACCGAAGACUCCAGUCUCCAAACAGAAAAGUAAAAGAAAAAAAGGAAAAGAAAACCAAGGGCUAAGAGGCAAGACAGAGAGAGUGAGAGGCGAGAGACUGAGAGAGACUCGAUCUGCCGCUGCCCAAACCGUGAGUGAAGCCGCCAAAACGCGAUGUGAGAGCUUGUUGCUGCUGCCCACGCCGUGACGCCGCCACCACGCGAGACCCAUCUCGCAGACCCACGCAACACCCAUCUCGCCGUGACGCCGCUGCUGGCUUUGAUCUGCUACAGCCUUCACACUUUCACACUCAAUGAAUAUUGAAGUUAUUCCAAGAGGAAUCAAGCCUUGAGGUUUUGGUGGGAAGUCAUGGAUAUUGGGACUGCUGACUCUGAACCCAGACGAAGUGGAUCAUUUAGUUGCACAAGCAGUGCCAAUUCUUCAUUGAGAAGGCGUUCUAUAAGUUUGUCAGCAGCUGCACCUGUACAUAUUGAUGAUGACAUUGAAAGUGAGAUUGUCUCAGAGGCAGGAGACAUUGGGGAUCGGGCUCUUCAUGGCAACAGGCACAGUGAGAGUAACAGCCACCGCUUUUCUGUUGAUCCUGCAUUAGAGAAUGGAGUUUCUGCCCCCACUUCUGGGGAUACUCUGUUGCACCUUAAUAGUUAUUGGUCUCGUGAUCCACCAACAAUGACUACAAUCUCCGUAGUGACACCAUUGCCUGAGGAAAUCAUAUCUCCCCUUUCCACAGAUGCAAUUGUGUGCUCUAAAGACAAAAAGCAAGUCGAUAAGGAAAGGUUGCCAAAGUUAUUGGAUUAUGCUUUCUGCCUCAUUCAUUUAGCUGUUUUUGGGAUUCUUGGGGUUUUGACGAGGUAUGUGCUACAAAAGCUGUUUGGUCCCGGAGUCGCUGGCUUGACAAACGAUGAAAACAUUCUGUACCUUGACCUUCCUUCCAAUAUGGUUGGUUCUUUCUUGAUGGGGUGGUGGGGUAUUGUUUUCAAAGCAGACAUAUCCAGCGUGUCAGACUACCUAGCAAUAGGAUUGACGACUGGUUAUUUGGGAAGUCUUACAACUUUCAGCGGUUGGAACCAGAAAAUGCUUGAUCUUAUUGUUGAUGGCCACUGGGUGCUUGCUGUGCUUGGUUUUCUUGUAGGUUUGUUUCUUGCAGCCUAUUCCAUUAUUUUUGGGGUUGAGACAGCCAAGGGUUUCAGGUGGCUUCUAAGAAGGCGAAAUGCGUGUACAGGAAGUGGCACUCCAAGCUCAAGCAGCAACUGGAGGGUGGACAGCUUCAAGCGUCACUUAGCAGUCAUGGUGGUGUUGAUUUUGAUGCUAGGCUUGUUAUGGGGUGUAUGUGGAGCACUAUUGAUGGAGGAGUUUAGCAGUGGCGGCAGUGGUGCUCAGCUAUGGUUGGCUUGUUUUGUUGGACCUCCAGGUGUGUGGAUCAGGUGGUUCUUAGCCAGACUUAAUGGUCGUGGGUUAGGCAGGGCUGGUUUGUUUAAAUGGGUGCCAUUUGGGACUCUAGCUGUCAAUGUUUCUGCAGCUUGCAUCAUGGCAGCACUCUCUACUGGGAAGAAAGCUGUGAAUAGCCAGACUUAUGAUACUGUGGCAUCGGGCAUACAAAUUGGAUUGGGCUGUCUGAGUACUGUCUCUACCUUCAUUGCCGAGUUCUAUGCAAUGAGGGAAAGCGAACACCCUUGGAGGGCAUAUGCAUAUGCAUUGAUUACCGUUUGCAUCUCAUUCGGGUUGGGGAUAUUAAUAUACUCUGUACCUGUUUGGACAAAGGGGUAUGGGUAAUAUGUUUUUGUUUUUUUUGUUUUGUUUUUUUGUUUUUGUUUUUGGUGGAGGUAGAGCAUGUUGAUGGCAGCCUUAUUGUGUACAUCAUAUAUGCCUUGACAUUUAGUUGACCAAAAUGCUGAGGAGAUAGUUAUAAUCAGCAUGUAUGCCUUGAUAUCAAGUUGGCAUCUGGUUGACUAGAAAGCUGAGGGAUCCUAAAAAUUCAUAUAGGUACCACAGAAUUAUCAACAGGAGGGUUGAAUAGGUUGAUGUGGUACAUGCCAGUGCAUAGGCGCACAUCAUUUGCUACAUAUGGAGGUCCCUGAUCUGGAAAUCUGUGUUGAUGAUUAAUGUACUAAAUUUUUUUUUUAAUAACUUUUUAAAAUUUUUUUUUUUUUUAAUAACUUAACAGUUGGGGGAGGGGGGUUUCUAAUUCCGAAUAUCUCCUUUGGAAAUAUCAUGAAGAGCCAAUUGAGGUAAGGCACUUGGCAUUGACAUUUGACAAUUAACAAAUGUGAAUUGAGCUUUGAGUAUUGGACGAUGUGCACCAAUUUUGCCCUCAAGCUCAGAGCUUCAACUCCCUAUUCUAGUUUCUAACGUAUUAGGCACUUAGGUUGACUUUUGUGGAGUUUUAUUGUCAGCUCGAAGAAACAGCCUUGUUCUGGAGAUGUGUCAUGGUAAAUUGUAGUGAACUUUGACCAAAUUUGCAGUAGUGUUUGCCAGUCAUUCCAUGGCCAAGAUCGAAAUGCAUUUUAUGUAAUCUUUAAAAGGAGCAAUCUAGAAAUAGUGUAACUAACACUCUUAAAGUUUUAGCGUGAAUUGCCAUUUCAAAAACAGAAUGUGAAUACUGCCCCUGCAAUUAGGACUCUGUCUUGAUAGGAAUUUGUGACAAGCAUGGCACCAAUUUUGUACCGCAUCAAUGAGCUUAUUUCUGUC